UGUAUAAUGGGUCAGCGACUUAUAUUCUGUAGCAAGGUUAACCGAAUAGGGGAGCCGAAGGGAAACCGAGUCUUAACUGGGCGUUAAGUUGCAGGGUAUAGACCCGAAACCCGGUGAUCUAGCCAUGGGCAGGUUGAAGGUUGGGUAACACUAACUGGAGGACCGAACCGACUAAUGUUGAAAAAUUAGCGGAUGACUUGUGGCUGGGGGUGAAAGGCCAAUCAAACCGGGAGAUAGCUGGUUCUCCCCGAAAGCUAUUUAGGUAGCGCCUCGUGAAUUCAUCUCCGGGGGUAGAGCACUGUUUCGGCAAGGGGGUCAUCCCGACUUACCAACCCGAUGCAAACUGCGAAUACCGGAGAAUGUUAUCACGGGAGACACACGGCGGGUGCUAACGUCCGUCGUGAAGAGGGAAACAACCCAGACCGCCAGCUAAGGUCCCAAAGUCAUGGUUAAGUGGGAAACGAUGUGGGAAGGCCCAGACAGCCAGGAUGUUGGCUUAGAAGCAGCCAUCAUUUAAAGAAAGCGUAAUAGCUCACUGGUCGAGUCGGCCUGCGCGGAAGAUGUAACGGGGCUAAACCAUGCACCGAAGCUGCGGCAGCGACGCUGAUGCGUUGUUGGGUAGGGGAGCGUUCUGUAAGCCUGCGAAGGUGUGCUGUGAGGCAUGCUGGAGGUAUCAGAAGUGCGAAUGCUGACAUAAGUAACGAUAAAGCGGGUGAAAAGCCCGCUCGCCGGAAGACCAAGGGUUCCUGUCCAACGUUAAUCGGGGCAGGGUGAGUCGACCCCUAAGGCGAGGCCGAAAGGCGUAGUCGAUGGGAAACAGGUUAAUAUUCCUGUACUUGGUGUUACUGCGAAGGGGGGACGGAGAAGGCUAUGUUGGCCGGGCGACGGUUGUCCCGGUUUAAGCGUGUAGGCUGGUUUUCCAGGCAAAUCCGGAAAAUCAAGGCUGAGGCGUGAUGACGAGGCACUACGGUGCUGAAGCAACAAAUGCCCUGCUUCCAGGAAAAGCCUCUAAGCAUCAGGUAACAUCAAAUCGUACCCCAAACCGACACAGGUGGUCAGGUAGAGAAUACCAAGGCGCUUGAGAGAACUCGGGUGAAGGAACUAGGCAAAAUGGUGCCGUAACUUCGGGAGAAGGCACGCUGAUAUGUAGGUGAAGUCCCUCGCGGAUGGAGCUGAAAUCAGUCGAAGAUACCAGCUGGCUGCAACUGUUUAUUAAAAACACAGCACUGUGCAAACACGAAAGUGGACGUAUACGGUGUGACGCCUGCCCGGUGCCGGAAGGUUAAUUGAUGGGGUUAGCCGCAAGGCGAAGCUCUUGAUCGAAGCCCCGGUAAACGGCGGCCGUAACUAUAACGGUCCUAAGGUAGCGAAAUUCCUUGUCGGGUAAGUUCCGACCUGCACGAAUGGCGUAAUGAUGGCCAGGCUGUCUCCACCCGAGACUCAGUGAAAUUGAACUCGCUGUGAAGAUGCAGUGUACCCGCGGCAAGACGGAAAGACCCCGUGAACCUUUACUAUAGCUUGACACUGAACAUUGAGCCUUGAUGUGUAGGAUAGGUGGGAGGCUUUGAAGUGUGGACGCCAGUCUGCAUGGAGCCGACCUUGAAAUACCACCCUUUAAUGUUUGAUGUUCUAACGUUGACCCGUAAUCCGGGUUGCGGACAGUGUCUGGUGGGUAGUUUGACUGGGGCGGUCUCCUCCUAAAGAGUAACGGAGGAGCACGAAGGUUGGCUAAUCCUGGUCGGACAUCAGGAGGUUAGUGCAAUGGCAUAAGCCAGCUUGACUGCGAGCGUGACGGCGCGAGCAGGUGCGAAAGCAGGUCAUAGUGAUCCGGUGGUUCUGAAUGGAAGGGCCAUCGCUCAACGGAUAAAAGGUACUCCGGGGAUAACAGGCUGAUACCGCCCAAGAGUUCAUAUCGACGGCGGUGUUUGGCACCUCGAUGUCGGCUCAUCACAUCCUGGGGCUGAAGUAGGUCCCAAGGGUAUGGCUGUUCGCCAUUUAAAGUGGUACGCGAGCUGGGUUUAGAACGUCGUGAGACAGUUCGGUCCCUAUCUGCCGUGGGCGCUGGAGAACUGAGGGGGGCUGCUCCUAGUACGAGAGGACCGGAGUGGACGCAUCACUGGUGUUCGGGUUGUCAUGCCAAUGGCACUGCCCGGUAGCUAAAUGCGGAAGAGAUAAGUGCUGAAAGCAUCUAAGCACGAAACUUGCC
rnacentral:rRNA from 1 species